UAAGCGUUUUCGGCCUUAGUUUCGGCAUUCAGUGACUUUCUCCAGCUAAUUUGUGCUUUCACCCCGUUUUAGUGACUCAUUACACGCGCCGCAGCCAAGUGACGAGGACUAGUUCACGGAUAGCCGUUUCUUCCAAUUCGGUAAUGGUGAAAAGCUGUCCUGCACGCGUGUACAACACUUGCUGGAACCCAUUGACGAUUAGAGGAGUGCACGUAUAUAGUUGCAUAUUUAUGCCACGAUAGAGACAGACGGCAGAGGUAUGCUAUGCAGGGAGUGGGUCCUCUCCAAGUGCACAGACCGAAUAAUGUAACCGGUAACUGGUAACCGGUCCAGGCGGCUCAGCUCAGGUGGGUGGUGGCGGACGAACUGCAACGAGGAAAUUCCACCAUCCAAAAAUGGACGCAAAACGGACACCCUCACGUGACGUCACCCAGCAGGCAGCACCACCUUAUAUAUAAUCAAUACACAUAAUAGGUACAACACAGUGCGAUCGAAAACGUUGGAUUCAGAGUUGGCUUUGAGUGACGUUUCACACUUCGCGCUAUUUAUGUAGUGGAGAUGACAUUCUGACAGGAGAAUAGCAGCAGUGACGUUUGAUCGUUGAUAAUGUGAUUUUGUUUACGUUUCUGAAUAACUAUUUAACGUUUAGCGAAUUCUUAUGCGGUUUUUUGUCGUUGGUGUUGUUUGUUUGACCGCAUGUUGAUGGAUUAGUAUUUUUAAAAUUUUAAAGAUGUCGUUGAUCGCCACUCAC